GAGAAUUAAUCAAGGCACCCACCAUUGAAUGGCAAACCGUGUAAUCCCAGCAGCAUCAAAACUCCUGAAAACUCUCAGGCCACUCAACUCCGCCGCCUCCUCUACCACCAUCUCCGCCAUAUCACCGCCAAUCGGCUACGCCGAAAAACCGCUACAAUCUCCCAGUGGUCACGCCAUCACCGCCGCCGACACCAUCACCGACAACAUAUUCAACCUCGAUGACGUGGACAAGCUAUUCGCCUCUGUCUC
rnacentral:lncRNA from 1 species